rnacentral:tRNA from 1 species
GGGCCUGUAGGGUAGCCAGGAUAUCCUGAUGGGCUUCGAUGUUACCAUAGUGGUGCGAAGAUACCCAUCGACUCGUGUUCGAAUCGCGGCAGGCCCG